rnacentral:misc_RNA from 1 species
AAGUCGUAACAAGGUAUCCGUAGGUGAACCUGCGGAUGGAUCAUUAUUGAAUAUCCACACACACCCCAACGUUGAAUGUUUGGCGGGUGUCGCAAGACACGGCCCGCAUUAUUAACACGCAAACAGCGACGAAACAGCUAAGCAGACAACUUUCAACAACGGAUCUCUUGGUUCUG